AUUUAUCCUUAGCUGAGGGAGAAACCCAGCUCCUGCUGCCCCCGUGGAAAGCAUGCCGAGAGGAAGAGACGCGGGCAAAGCUGAGCUAAAAAACCUCGUUAACAUCAUCGCUGUAACCAGAUUAUUCCUUUUCCGCACAUAUAUAGAAUGAGGUAGAGAAGAAGGCAUGUUGGUGGUUCUCUAGUAUGUCACAAGCAGACACACAGCCAAGUACUCAACUGCGUGCCCAAGACAGACCUACAGA